UACGAAGGGGGCUAGCGUUGCUCGGAAUUACUGGGCGUAAAGGGCGCGUAGGCGGAUAGUUAAGUUGGGGGUGAAAGCCCGGGGCUCAACCUCGGAAUUGCCUUCAAUACUGGCUAUCUUGAGUACGGGAGAGGUGUGUGGAACUCCGAGUGUAGAGGUGAAAUUCGUAGAUAUUCGGAAGAACACCAGUGGCGAAGGCGACACACUGGCCCGUUACUGACGCUGAGGCGCGAAAGCGUGGGGAGCGAACAGG
rnacentral:rRNA from 1 species